GAGUUCGUGGUGUUAUGGUUAGCACACUCGGCGCCUAUUCGAGAGGUCCAGGUUCGAAUCCGGGCGAGGGCA
rnacentral:tRNA from 1 species